GAUUAACGCUAGCGGCAGGCUUAAUACAUGCAAGUCGAGGGGCAGCGCAGUGUAGCAAUACAUGGGCGGCGACCGGCAAACGGGUGCGGAACACGUACGCAACCUUCCUUUAAGUGGGGGAUAGCCCAGGGAAACUUGGAUUAAUACCCCGUAAUAUUAUGAAGUGGCAUCACUUUAUACUUAUAGCUCCGGCGCUUAAAGAUGGGCGUGCGACUGAUUAGGUAGUUGGCGGGGUAACGGCCCACCAAGCCUGCGAUCAGUAACUGGUGUGAGGGCACGACCAGUCACACGGGCACUGAGACACGGGCCCGACUCCUACGGGAGGCAGCAGUAAGGAAUAUUGGUCAAUGGACGCAAGUCUGAACCAGCCAUGCCGCGUGGAGGAUGAAGGUCCUCUGGAUUGUAAACUUCUUUUAUUUGGGAAGAAACCCAUUGUUUCUACGGUGGUUGACGGUACCAGAUGAAUAAGCACCGGCUAACUCCGUGCCAGCCGCCGCUGUAACAC
rnacentral:rRNA from 1 species